UCUGGGGGCACUUUGGGAAGCAGCCAGCUGUCCAGAAGCAGCCUCCUCCUUGUUUGGUUUCUUCGGAUGUCAUCCUAGGUGACCGCGUCUCUGGCUUUGGGCUACUCCCCUGGGCGGGUGGGUGCUCUACCCUCCCGCCCACUCUCUGAGGACAUGAGGACCAGCGACAUCCAGCACCACGGACAGCUCCCGGCGGUUCCCUGAGUGCCUAGUCCGUGUGCAUGACUGGAGGAGACUCCCAUAGCCUUGCAGAGGGAAAGCAGAUACAACCCACCCCAGACCAUGGCGGUUUCCCUGCAACGAGCCCAGUGGCUUUCUGGAGGACACUUUUCCUGGAGGGAAGCAGUGACUCAGCAUAAGUUCUUGCCUGGCCUCACUUGAGAGUCUCUUCCCGCUGAUCAGCAGAGGUCGUCUCCCUCUUCACCAGACCCUUGCUGCCUACCUGGUCCUUCUAACUGUGCAUUGGGUUUGGAGCACUUUAAACAGUAGAAUGACUGCAAGUCAAGAGCUCAGCCUACAGGAAGGACAACAAAAGGCAGGGUCAGUGCUGGAGAGACUGGACAGACCAAAAAGAAGACCUGACCUCACCCUGAGCACCCCUGUCAUGCAAAGUACGUUUGCAGACUGCCAACUGGCUGGCUCCAGCAAGCAGAAGUGGACGGGGUGGAGGCUCAACCUGGCAGCUUCUCCCCAAAGCCAUGCCUGGUCACUUCCAGCAAGUUGUCCAGCCUGACCAUCCAUUUCCCCUGUCGCCUCUCAGCUGGGUCCCCGAGACCCACCCCAUCUCCAAUAAAGAACGUUGCAUACAGAGCAUUA
rnacentral:sRNA from 1 species